GGGUUGUGAGGUUAAGUGACUAAGCGUACACGGUGGAUGCCCUGGCAGUCAGAGGCGAUGAAGGACGUGCUAAUCUGCGAUAAGCGUCGGUAAGGUGAUAUGAACCGUUAUAACCGGCGAUUUCCGAAUGGGGAAACCCAGUGUGAUUCGUCACACUAUCAUUAACUGAAUCCAUAGGUUAAUGAGGCGAACCGGGGGAACUGAAACAUCUAAGUACCCCGAGGAAAAGAAAUCAACCGAGAUUCCCCCAGUAGCGGCGAGCGAACGGGGAGGAGCCCAGAGCCUGAAUCAGUGUGUGUGUUAGUGGAAGCGUCUGGAAAGGCGCGCGAUACAGGGUGACAGCCCCGUACACAAAAAUGCACAUGCUGUGAGCUCGAUGAGUAGGGCGGGACACGUGGUAUCCUGUCUGAAUAUGGGGGGACCAUCCUCCAAGGCUAAAUACUCCUGACUGACCGAUAGUGAACCAGUACCGUGAGGGAAAGGCGAAAAGAACCCCGGCGAGGGGAGUGAAAAAGAACCUGAAACCGUGUACGUACAAGCAGUGGGAGCACAGAGCAAUCUGUGUGACUGCGUACCUUUUGUAUAAUGGGUCAGCGACUUAUAUUCUGUAGCAAGGUUAACCGAAUAGGGGAGCCGAAGGGAAACCGAGUCUUAACUGGGCGUUAAGUUGCAGGGUAUAGACCCGAAACCCGGUGAUCUAGCCAUGGGCAGGUUGAAGGUUGGGUAACACUAACUGGAGGACCGAACCGACUAAUGUUGAAAAAUUAGCGGAUGACUUGUGGCUGGGGGUGAAAGGCCAAUCAAACCGGGAGAUAGCUGGUUCUCCCCGAAAGCUAUUUAGGUAGCGCCUCGUGAAUUCAUCUCCGGGGGUAGAGCACUGUUUCGGCAAGGGGGUCAUCCCGACUUACCAACCCGAUGCAAACUGCGAAUACCGGAGAAUGUUAUCACGGGAGACACACGGCGGGUGCUAACGUCCGUCGUGAAGAGGGAAACAACCCAGACCGCCAGCUAAGGUCCCAAAGUCAUGGUUAAGUGGGAAACGAUGUGGGAAGGCCCAGACAGCCAGGAUGUUGGCUUAGAAGCAGCCAUCAUUUAAAGAAAGCGUAAUAGCUCACUGGUCGAGUCGGCCUGCGCGGAAGAUGUAACGGGGCUAAACCAUGCACCGAAGCUGCGGCAGCGACACUAUGUGUUGUUGGGUAGGGGAGCGUUCUGUAAGCCUGUGAAGGUGUGCUGUGAGGCAUGCUGGAGGUAUCAGAAGUGCGAAUGCUGACAUAAGUAACGAUAAAGCGGGUGAAAAGCCCGCUCGCCGGAAGACCAAGGGUUCCUGUCCAACGUUAAUCGGGGCAGGGUGAGUCGACCCCUAAGGCGAGGCCGAAAGGCGUAGUCGAUGGGAAACAGGUUAAUAUUCCUGUACUUGGUGUUACUGCGAAGGGGGGACGGAGAAGGCUAUGUUGGCCGGGCGACGGUUGUCCCGGUUUAAGCGUGUAGGCUGGUUUUCCAGGCAAAUCCGGAAAAUCAAGGCUGAGGCGUGAUGACGAGGCACUACGGUGCUGAAGCAACAAAUGCCCUGCUUCCAGGAAAAGCCUCUAAGCAUCAGGUAACAUCAAAUCGUACCCCAAACCGACACAGGUGGUCAGGUAGAGAAUACCAAGGCGCUUGAGAGAACUCGGGUGAAGGAACUAGGCAAAAUGGUGCCGUAACUUCGGGAGAAGGCACGCUGAUAUGUAGGUGAAGCGACUUGCUCGUGGAGCUGAAAUCAGUCGAAGAUACCAGCUGGCUGCAACUGUUUAUUAAAAACACAGCACUGUGCAAACACGAAAGUGGACGUAUACGGUGUGACGCCUGCCCGGUGCCGGAAGGUUAAUUGAUGGGGUUAGCGCAAGCGAAGCUCUUGAUCGAAGCCCCGGUAAACGGCGGCCGUAACUAUAACGGUCCUAAGGUAGCGAAAUUCCUUGUCGGGUAAGUUCCGACCUGCACGAAUGGCGUAAUGAUGGCCAGGCUGUCUCCACCCGAGACUCAGUGAAAUUGAACUCGCUGUGAAGAUGCAGUGUACCCGCGGCAAGACGGAAAGACCCCGUGAACCUUUACUAUAGCUUGACACUGAACAUUGAGCCUUGAUGUGUAGGAUAGGUGGGAGGCUUGGAAGUGUGGACGCCAGUCUGCAUGGAGCCGACCUUGAAAUACCACCCUUUAAUGUUUGAUGUUCUAACGUUGACCCGUAAUCCGGGUUGCGGACAGUGUCUGGUGGGUAGUUUGACUGGGGCGGUCUCCUCCUAAAGAGUAACGGAGGAGCACGAAGGUUGGCUAAUCCUGGUCGGACAUCAGGAGGUUAGUGCAAUGGCAUAAGCCAGCUUGACUGCGAGCGUGACGGCGCGAGCAGGUGCGAAAGCAGGUCAUAGUGAUCCGGUGGUUCUGAAUGGAAGGGCCAUCGCUCAACGGAUAAAAGGUACUCCGGGGAUAACAGGCUGAUACCGCCCAAGAGUUCAUAUCGACGGCGGUGUUUGGCACCUCGAUGUCGGCUCAUCACAUCCUGGGGCUGAAGUAGGUCCCAAGGGUAUGGCUGUUCGCCAUUUAAAGUGGUACGCGAGCUGGGUUUAGAACGUCGUGAGACAGUUCGGUCCCUAUCUGCCGUGGGCGCUGGAGAACUGAGGGGGGCUGCUCCUAGUACGAGAGGACCGGAGUGGACGCAUCACUGGUGUUCGGGUUGUCAUGCCAAUGGCACUGCCCGGUAGCUAAAUGCGGAAGAGAUAAGUGCUGAAAGCAUCUAAGCACGAAACUUGCCCCGAGAUGAGUUCUCCCUGACUCCUUGAGAGUCCUGAAGGAACGUUGAAGACGACGACGUUGAUAGGCCGGGUGUGUAAGCGCAGCGAUGCGUUGAGCUAACCGGUACUAAUGAACCGUGAGGCUUAACCUUACAACGCCGAAGGUGUUU
rnacentral:rRNA from 1 species